AACGCACAUUGCGCCUAUUAGUAUUCUAAUAGGCAUGCCUGUUCGAGCGUCAUUUCAACCCUUAAGCCCUGCUUAGUGUUGGGAGUCUACACCUGGGCGGACCUACCCUGUAGUGCCGUCCUCGUAGCUCCUCAAAUUUAGCGGCGGAGUUGUAGUAUCCUCUGAGCGUAGUAAUUAUCAUCUCGCUUUUGUUAGGUGCUACGGCCCUUGCCGUUAAACCCCCUAUUUUUUUGUGGUUGACCUCGGAUCAGGUAGGAAUACCCGCUGAACUUAA
rnacentral:misc_RNA from 1 species